UAGGGUAAUACGUUACUCGUUCAUAUCAGUGUAUAAAAGAGCGGUCACAGAAGAUACGUCUUUCCACUGCCCCUCAGCCACACAGAGCCCUGCUGCUGACCGAGCUGUGCUUUGUAAACAAGAAACCUGGUCAAGAGCCUUUGCCCACCUAACCAACUCGGUCAUCUUUUGGGCAGUUUGAUCUGCUGGCCUAGCUACCUGGCUAGAGCUGUGACAACACAACACACACAAGCAACCCACAACAGGUGUCAUUGUUUCAGAGACCCCAGCACCAUGGCAGGGGUGUGUGAUGGUUCUAUACGGGUGGCACAUUCUGCGGUGAUUAGCCUAUAAUAGAGGAGGGAGGAUACCACAUGGCACUGAUGGCGCAACACCAUGAGACACAGCCAAUGUGGAUUGUCCUAAGAGGGGGCCGGGCACCCACAGCUCCUACUGGUUCCCAAGGGAGAUGGAAGAACUCAGCUCUGCUCAGAAUGGGCCCAUUGUGACGGAGGCGGAACAUUCCGUCACAAGGGCAGUAACUGAAACCAACAGAGACAGAGACAGACUGGGAAGAGACCCAGGCAUAAGCCUUCACAGGCAAGGGCUGAAUAAGUCCCACCCCAUCCAAAUCACAGGUAAGGAGCUGGCCAUGAGCCUGGAACUAGCAGAGCCCAGCCCGUGACUCUAGAUCUGAAGUGUCAGUCACCGUGGGCUACAGCAUUUCACACCAGAAUGCCACACAGAGCACAUGGCUACUGCCUGUGGGUAUGAAGAUUGGGACCAUGGCAAGGCAGUAUGGUCUUCUGGCACUCAGUUUCCUCCUAAUCUAAAGAUGGGAAGGAGACACAGCAGGACAAAGGAGGAAGGAAAUGCAGGGCCAAGGUAAAGGCAGUGAAUCCAUCUUUCGUUGUCAAAGUCUACUAGCAAGUUUUGUAAGUAUAAAGCAAUGUACAGAACCAAAGCUGCUGAAAGGUCAGAGAAUUAUCUACUUGCUCCGUUCAAAGAUAAGGAAAUAGUAAGUUAUACCCACUAGAUUUUAAACAAUACAGCUGAUUGUACAGAGAGAAACAAACAAACUGAUACAGCAGUUCAUCCCACAGAAGGUAUGCAUUUUACUUACUCUUAAAUUAAUCCAAGGACAAAUCAUUGACAUUUGUUUCCUGACUAAAAUACUGUCUGUCAAACAGCUCUUUGCAGCAGGCCCUAUUUUGAGAUGAAAAGAUGCAGUUUCCAGGAAGAAAUUAGUUGACCUAACUGAUCCAUCCUUUUUGGGAGGUAAGAAAUACAUUACACAUUUCAUUGCCCACAACAGUCAAUGGUUCUGGUCAUAUUCACAGGUGGAAGAAAUGGUAACUUGUGAAAUAUGCAUGUCUCUAAAGAAAGGAAGUUAAGACACACAAGGACACAAGAAGCUGCUCUACAGAACACUGGAACACAAACUGGGAGCUCCUUCAAACGUAAGGAAAGCAGCUGGCAAUUCUAACCCGUAAUUGCGAUAGCACCUCUUUUUUCCUUUCCAGAUAGUGCUGUGGAUUGUUCCUACAAGGCAGUAGCAGUUAUGUUAUUUCAAACAAAAAUAAAACUAAUUGCAGCAUAAAAAGGAGCUUUAAUCUUCCCUUCCAUUUUCAGAGAUGAGUUAAUCCACGACUGCAGGAUUGAUCAUUCUUGCCUAUGGAUAAAAGGGAAGAAGAAAUCAGUGGAACUUAUCAUUUCUAUCAAGAGGUAAGAAAUCCAUAUCCUCAGAGUGCAGGGCCAGGAAUAACAGUUUCCAUUUCUAUUUUUAGGUGAAAUGAAAGUCUUAUCAUUCAAGGGAGGAAGAUAGGAAGCUGCUGAAGAAAGGGUUAAGUCAGACAGGUGCUAUACCUGCCCAAAGGGGAAAAAAUUCCCUCUAGUCCAGAAAAAAACAAAAAUUUGCCAAUUUUGUGCUUCAAGUUUUAACCCAUCUAGCUGGCCAUAAGCAUCCAAGAAUCAGAGCCAUGCCAUAGAACAUCAUGACGAGCAGGUGGGCACUGAAAAUUCUAAUGAUCUGGCUGCUAAGGAACAGUCUCCAUUGAAAGUGCUUCAUAGCUGGUAACGAGUCAUAAUAACAAUAAAAUUCUGUCAAACAUUGAUGAUUGCAGGUUUUCCUGAUUUGAAAUGUGAACAGAUGGCCAUUCCUACUAGGAAGAAGGGAGGGGAAAUGGCUGUCCUCCACAAGAGGUAAGAAAUACCAGACUCCACAUAGCCAUGUGUAUAUCAAGCAGUGUUGAUUUCACUUUCAGGUAGAAGAACUGGUUGUUGACCUUACCUGAGCAAAGCAAAUACAAAACUUAAAGCCUCAUGGACUUUCCCGGUUCUCAACCCAUGGAGGAAAUAACAGUCUCUUGUGAUUGGAAUCAAGGAAAUAAAGGUCAGUUAUUUCAAACAGGUCGGCUAGAUGCAAAUCCAAAUUGGAAGCAAUUCAGCAGCACAUCACACACUGAGGUGAGCAUUUCAGUUUCCCUGGUUGUCAGAUGAAACAGCUGCUAAAACCACACUUACACACCAAAUGAAUCAAUCAAUCUGGCACUCAUUGAUUGUUACUGCAGAUCACAUAUCUCCAGAUGGAAGGAGACCAGAGGACUAUUGUACUCUAGAAGGGAUUAAUGCAAUUGGAAUGAGCUGAGCCAGGCAUAUCAGUUGGUAAGAAAAACCAAAAAACUCCUUUUUUAACAUUGGAGUGGAAAUGAAUGGAUCCUCUCAUUUUUCAGAUGUGGGAAAUACAGCUGAUCUGAACUCUGAGGGUGAGAAAACUUCAGGAAGUUCCUAAAAGAUCCCUCACUGAGGCCAAGAGGUAAGGAACUCACCUGAGAAUGCUGGAGAAGGAAUUAAUGUAUCCUGGGUUUCCUUUUCAGGUGACAGAAAUGCAGCCAAUUGAAUCUCACAGGGAUUGAAAGCUAUAAGCAGUCGCAUUAUUAAGAAUAAAGGAAGAUGAAACCAAAUCUGCAGAGAGGAAGGAAAGUUUUCCUUCCGUGACUAAAAUGGAGAGACUCAUCACCAUCAAGUUUCAAAUCCACAAUGUGGCAGACCGACAAGGCGGUGAGUGUUUGUGGUUCCGUUGUACAAAGUACUUGACAAUCUGUUCCCUUUAGCAACAUUUCUGGGACCGUAAAACCAAUGAGCAACCACAUUCCUUGUCCAACUUUGACCCCUACAGCCAUGGCUGGGCUUUUUGAGAACUAACUUGCAAAGCAGAUUUGCCUUUUCAGGAGAUCAGGGUUACAGAUGCUCAGAUUUUCCAGCUCCAAUGAAUGGCUCAAAGCCAUUCCUAUCAUCCUGAAGGACAAUUGGUUCUCUGAAGAUAUGAAACCCCAGACACUCCAUUCAACAGAGCCACAGAAUUGGCUCUGAUGAGAGGUAAGAGAAGCAUGUGACAAGCCUAACAUGUGCAAACCAUGAGCUCCACAAAAUUGCUAACUUAUGUUGUCCCAAUGAGUUUGUUACAGGUGAUCACAUAUCUCAGAGUCUGAGAGGAGCCAAGGGGAUGCAUCGUUGUCAAGAGGGGAGGAACCUGCUUAUCACGGCUGAGUGUAAUUCAGUGGUUGUACUUUCAGAGGAAGGAAACAGCCUGUGUUGACCUCAUUCAAGAAACAAUGUUCAAAAGUUGCAUGGUGCAUUAUUGAGUUAAGAGAAGAGUGGGUUCCAUCAACUGAGAUGCAAGAAGGGGGCUGCAUGGGAGAAGAGGAAAGCCCUGGAGAUUGGUUAAUACAGGGACACAGACCAGGGCCUGCCAAGACAGGGUAUGUAGCCAUUAUGACCAGUGGGUCCUUGCUCGCAUGCACAGGGUGAAACCGAUCGCCAUAUUUGGGAUCAGGAAGGAAUUUUCCUCCAGAGUAGAUUGGCCAGAGACUCUGGAGGUUUUUCGCCUUCCUCUGGGGCAUUGAGCAAGGACCAGCCCUUUGGGCCAUUUAGAAACAGACAAUAAAAUCCAUCAAAGAC